rnacentral:rRNA from 1 species
GACGAACGCUGGCGGCGUGCCUAAUACAUGCAAGUAGGACGCAGUUGCGAACGGGUGAGUAACGCGUAGGUAACUACCUGUUAGAGGGGGAUAAAUAUUGGAAACGAUAGCUAAUACCGCAUACUAGUAGGUGGACCUGUGUUGUAUUGGCUAGUAGGUAGGGUAAUGGCCUACCUAGGCAACGAUACAUAGCCGACCUUGGAGGGUGAACGGCCACCCUGGGACUGGGACCCGGCCCCGACUCCUACGGGAGGCAGCAGUAGGGAAUCUUCGGCAAUGGGGGGAACCCUUACCGAGCAACGCCGCGUUAGUGAAGAAGGUUUUCGGAUCGUAAAGCUCUGUUGUUAAGGAAGCGGUACUUAACCAGAAAGGGACGGCUAACUACGUGCCAGCAGCCGCGGUAAUAC